UAUAUAUAUAUUUUUUUCUUCUUUUACCUAGAUCCAAUGAGAACAGGGCACUAGCAUUACCAGUCCUCCAUCCUCUCCUUCCCUACAUGACAACAUGAACUUGGCUUGAAAAGAAAGCUCUUGGGAAUGGAAGACAAGCUAGGGAACCAAACAGAGGGGCCUGAAGCAGGCUAAGGGCACGAAUUAAACCACUUAGCCAAGGUGAUCACCAUCUGGAAGAACUCCUCAUCACCUCCAUCAUCAAACUCCUCUGGAAACCGCCCCCCCCCUCCCUUCCAAGCACACGGAGGCAGAAUAAUGAGCUGAGGUGCUGAGAGGUCCGGCAUAGGGAGGUAGAGUGAGAACCC
rnacentral:lncRNA from 1 species